rnacentral:rRNA from 1 species
GAUGAACGCUGACAGAAUGCUUAACACAUGCAAGUCUUUGGCGAAUCUGUGCUUGCACAGGCUAGCCAAGGCGGACGGGUGAGUAACGCGUAAAGAACUUGCCCUGCAGACAGGGAUAACAGACGGAAACGACUGAUAACACCUGAUACAGUUGCCGGCACGCAUGUGCCUGGCAAUGAAAAGAGAUGCUGCAGGAGAGCUUUGCGUCCUAUUAGCUUGUUGGUGAGGUGACGGCUCACCAAGGCGAUGAUAGGUAGCCGGCCUGAGAGGGUGAACGGCCACAAGGGGACUGGGAUACGGCCCUUACUCCUACGGGAGGCAGCAGUGGGGAAUAUUGGACGAUGGGGGCAACCCUGAUCCAGCAAUUCUGUGUGCACGAAGAAGGUUUUCGGAUUGUAAAGUGCUUUCAGCAGGGAAGAAGAAAGUGACGGUACCUGCAGAAGAAGCGACGGCUAAAUACGUG